rnacentral:rRNA from 1 species
AACGAACGCUGGCGGCAUGCCUAACACAUGCAAGUCGAACGAGAGCUCCGUGUGUAGUUGCGCACGGGGGCGGAACGCGUGGGAAGGGGCACGUCGGUUGGGAAUAACUGUGAGAAAUUUGAGCUAACGCAGUAUAAUUUCUUCUGACCCAAGAUUUAUCGCCGAGGGAUGAGCCCGCGUAGGCCUAGGUAGUCGGGGGUGUAAUGGCCUACCACGCCGACGAUACUUAGCUGGUCUGAGAGGAUGAUCAGCCACACUGGGACUGGGACCCGGCCCAGACUCCUACGCGAAGCAGCAGUGGGGGAUAUUGGACAAUGGGCGAAAGCCUGAUCCAGCUAUGCCGCGUGAGUGAUGAAGGCCUUAGGGUUGUAAAGCACUUUUACCCGGGAUGAUAAUGACGGUACCGGGAGAAUAAGCACCGGCUAACUCCGUG